GGGAGUGACGCGGUGGACGCUGCGCCCGCAGGUUGUGGGUCCGCAGUUGCCGCGCGCUCCUUCUCUGCCUCGGUGGGCCUCGGGGUCUCGUUGCUGCGGCCGAGCCGGGCCCAGACCCCGCACCUCUGUUGGAUCGGCCGCUUCCUGGUCUGUCGUGAGCGCGUCGCUCUCCUCGGCCCUGCCAAGUUGAACGUUUAGUCGCAGUUCUGGAAGCUUUUGAAGAGGAUUCGUGAAGGAUCCUCGAGUGGGAGUGCAGAUUGGCUGGGCGCGAGGAUCUUACAUUCAGUCAUCUCUGUACUCAAGGCGGGGCUGGAACUCACAACCCCGAGAAAAGAGGCGUCCCUAGGCCCUCAGGAUCUUCCAGGGUCGCUGGACAUGGUUGUGGUGAGCGGAGGACAGGAUGUGACUGCCCCGAGGAAGCAUUUACCUGGAAGGACGUGGGUGUUUGAGGGAAGAACCGGGGAAGGAGUACACUCUGCCCGCCUGCUUUGUCUGAAUAUGUGCAGAAUGUAGGGAGAAAAACACACCAAAGAGUGUGAUGCAGGUACUUAAGGGUGGUAGAGUUAAGGGUGCUUACGUUACGUUUACGUCCUUUAUAUUUUUUUAAUUCCCUUAGUUUUCUAUGAGGAACACCUAGUUUUUUGUGAUGAACACCUAUUUUCUUUUACAUUCACAACAAAUACUAGAGCUAUUUCCUUUUUUUUUUUCUUUUUUUAAGAUUUUAUUUAUUCAUAAGAGACAGAGAAAGAGGCAGACACAGGCAGAGGGAGAAGCAGGCUCUCCGCAGGAGCCUGAUGGGGGACCCAAUCCCAGACCCUAGGAUCUCACCCUGAGUCAAAGGAAGACGUCCAGCUGCUGAGCCACCCAGGUGUCCCAGCUGUUUUCAUGUUAAGAACAAAACCCCUCAAUGGCUUCCCCAGUGUGCUCAGAACAUACUA